AGGAGCAAGUGAUUCUUCUAUGAUGCCAUCAAAUGUAUACGAAAAUAUGGGAACAUACGCAUUUCCUGUAAUCUACGCUAACAAGAAAUGUCUCCUUCUGGGUGACGCAGUAGGCUCAGACGGCUCCGGACGGUUGAGCUUCUGCACAUUAUGGAUUACAGAAAAGUUUAUAAAAAAGCCACCACCAUGCUGUGAAUUCCUCUUCUUUCUUCUUUGUGGAGAAGGUUUCAGAGCGUUUGACCCGUCAUGCCUUACCAAGAAACAAGAGAAUGACCCUUAAAUUUAUACAGUGAAUAAAACAAUUUCUGUUAUCAUA